UACGGGGGGGGCAAGCGUUGUUCGGAAUUACUGGGCGUAAAGGGUCUGUAGGUGGCUUGCUAAGUCAGACGUGAAAUCCCUCAGCUUAACUGGGGAACUGCGUCUGAUACUGGCGAGCUUGAGUGCAGGAGAGGAACGCGGAAUUCCAGGUGUAGCGGUGAAAUGCGUAGAUAUCUGGAGGAACACCGGUGGCGAAGGCGGCGUUCUGGACUGCAACUGACACUGAGAGACGAAAGCCAGGGGAGCAAACGGG
rnacentral:rRNA from 1 species